GCUUACGGCCAUACCAGUGUGAAAGCGCCCGAUCUCGUCUGAUCUCAGAAGUUAAACAUGCACGGGCUCGGCCAGUACUUGGAUGGGAGACCACCUGGGAACCCCGGGUGCUGUAAGCU